CUCCGCCGCCGCGCUGCCCUCCCUCCCUCCCCUGCCGCCGCUCCGAGACCAAGACAUCCUGACACAAUCAUGGGGCUCCUUUGAAAACUGCAUCAAGCAAUUUAGCAGUUGGGGAGGGAGGAAUUAUAUCCAUUUGAAAAGAAACCUCACACAUGCAGAGAGGGAAUAACCCUCCAAAACGCUCGGUAAAUUUCCCUCGACCGUCUUUACCGCCGAGGAAAUAUCCUCCAGCUUAAAAUCCCUUUCCGAAGGGGCGUCCCGUUGCUCUGGAGCCGAGCGGAGGAGGCUACAGCUGCAGUGAGGAGCUCUCCACGGCCAAGUCCCAUUUCGUUCGGGAGCGCGGGUGAUCUCGGCCGCAGCACCCUGGAGGUCCCGGUGCAGCCCCAAAUCCUGCACGCUCUGUAUGCUCUGUACACACAUACACAUAUCUGCGUGUGUGUGUGUGCGUGUGCGCGGGGAUACACACACGCAGAAAAAUCCCAAGCAGAGCCUGGAGAGAGCACAAGCUAUCUCUGGAUUUUGUCAGAGACAAAACAGGCCGGGGACAGUCAGAACAAAAACCAAGGGGACUCGGGAUAGGAUUGCCCAGAAUUUUCCUCUUCUCCCUAAAUUUUCGCAUCAUUCUCCCACUCGUCGCCGUGGCCAUUUCUCUGGGGUGUCUCCCGCACAACCCCCGGCCUCUCCUAGCCCGGCCGCGGCCGCUGAGCUCCAGCCCGGCCUGCCCCGGGAACACCUCCCGAAGCCCCUCUCUUGAACUUUUCCUGCCCAAGGUCUUGACAGGCUGCUCUCGCUGUCCUCUUGGCGUCUACAUGGAGAAAAUCUGGCAGGGGCUUCCUUCCCAGAAAUCCCCGAUCUGCUCCAAGCGCACUGAGAGGCAGCCUCUCUCGGAGGGAGGGGUGCACUACGUUCGCAGUCAGAUUACAUGACUGGCCUCAUAGGCACUAGCUCCGGAUUUCCAAACUAAUAUUCAUCCCUUAAAAGAUGAAGAAAAUGAGAGGAAGGUCUCAGACGCGGGAGACCUCGGGGGAUUCGUGACCACAGCGGGGAGGAGACGUGACCCAAGCAGGUCGUGUCUGGAGGGGGGCUGACUGACUUAAAGGAGAGGGUGAAAUGCCUAAUUUAAUUCUUUUCCGGACGCCCUAAACCCCCGUCAGUAUGUCUGAGCGUGCUGCGAGCCCUUCAUAGGAGUGCAGUCCUCGGCGGGAGGGACGGGAUCCCGGGCCGCCAAGCGCCGAGACGAGCGGGGCUCUCAGGAGCUGGGCCGGGAUGGGGGGCUCCGGGAGAGCCCGGGCUCAGGCCCCCCGGCCUCUGCCGAGCAGGUGGAUCCCAUCCGAGGAGGUGUCGCAGGCAGGCCUGGCUCCCCCGAGCACCCGGAGCCUCGCGUGAACGGGGCCUCUCUCCCCACUCAGCCGGGGAUCCAGAGCUGGG